CUGCUGCCAUUCAGCACUUUUUCUUGCUGGCUGAGGCGGGAACACUGGCCUGGUAUUUCGUGGUUUAUUUGCAUGACAUGCUCAGGUUCAGCCCCACUCUGUUUCUGCUUUUCUUGUAGGUCAGAGUCUACUCAUCCCUGUUUGGAGAUAAGCAGAAGACAACAGAAAUACCUUCCAAGGAAGCUGUGGACUAAGAGGAGACAAUACUGCAACUACAACCCUGUGAGUAUAGAGCAAAAAGGGGAGCUUCAUGCCUCUCAUGCACAACUCUUCAGCCCAGUUGACCUUUUUUCCCCCAAAGACCUAUGCUGUUGACACAUCUUUGCCUGACAAACCCUCAGAAGUCCCAGGUCAUUACUGUAGAGACUGUUGCCCCCCCAUAUUGCUGCAGCUUUGUGUUACAGUUAGCACCUACCUUUAGAAAACAAAAAAAACCCGAGGGCAAUUGUCCAGCCCUUUUUCCAACUUGCCACAAUUCUUUCCUUAUCCUGCUUCUGCCUUCCUGAGCACUCAGUGCUGAUUCCAGCUUGAUACCAUCAGAAGCACUGGGGACUCACUCCCCCUUCCACGACCUCUGCUGCCAGCAGAAGCACCAAAUUGGACUUGAUGCAAGACUAAAGCCCCUGGACCCUCAAAUUAAUUCUGCUUCACAGGGUGGGAUAAUCACUGAAAUUAGUUCGAGGUAUUUUUUUUCUCCUGAUCAGCACAGGCUGGAGAGAAUCUGUUACCUGCAAAGUUUGUCCCAAGGAUUAGAUAAGCUUUUUAGGGCACAGAUCCCCAAACUCCUCUUUUUCUUGCAACUUAGAGGCACUAUUUGGCAAGAGACAGCAGAGGAGCAACAUCCCACAUGCUGUUGGUGCUUUCAGGACGCUGCUGUGGCUCCCAGAGUUUAUCAAUGAACUCCUUGCACUGGAGCAGCAGUUUCCCACAGGCCCAGAGCACCCAGUGCUCUGUAACACCAGGGCACCCACAGCUCUGGCUGCCAUCCGGAGGGGAGCAAAGAGAAAUCUCAUCUAGCAAAGAGAAAUAACGUGAGCAGGAGGCGCUUCUGCCUCCUAAGCAGUAUCUCCAAAUAUCUUUAACUAUUGCAAAAGCAAGUAAACAAUAAUAAAUAUUGUUAUCUUGAGGGAGGCUGUUGACACCAACAUGCUCGACUUUGCAGGCUGAGUGCUGGCAGGGGCCAAGAGCAGCUCAGCGGAGGGGCAGUCCUGCUGCUAAGGCACUGUGACCCCCUCUGCUCGACUUUGCAGGAGACUCUGCAAGGAUAAGGGAUGAAGCUGGGCUCAAACAGUGUCUGAGCACUCAGCUGAUUCAUAUUGCAGACAGAAAAAGCUUUCACUGAAGAUUUGCUAACAGAAAGUCAAAAGUGCCACCCCAGCAAGGGUUCCGUGCCACCUCUCCCUAUGUCUCUUGGCAGUGAAAUUUGUUCUUUCACGUUUACUAGUUCUGGCAUUCAAUGCAAAUCAAACCCAACAGAAAACAAGUUUUUGCUUGCUCCUUCCUUUAUUUCUUUCCUCUUCCUCCUCCCUGAACUAUUUUUUCCUCAUAUUCCCUCUCCUUCAUGAACCAGCAGAACGCUGGGUCUGUUAAGGAAUUACACUGCCUUGGUAGAAACCCUGCAAAUCUACAUAAGCAGAAAAUCUUGUCACGUCUCCUCACAAAUUGAAAAGGAGAACUAAAUGAAAUCCCACUGGGAUGCUCUGGCUACCUCAGUGCAACAAGGUUCAGCUUAAGAUGCUUGUUUCACUUGCUGCAUUGCCUGGUUUUAAUCCAAUUUGGUUCGGGACACAUAAAAUAGCCGCUUUUCCGCCCUCCAGGAAGCAGCGAGUGCAACCAGAGCAGAGCAAAGUGCUGGCUGGUCCUGCCUCAUGUGCACACACCCCAAGCUGUGCUCACUUCUUGGCUCAUGCUUUAGCACUACCUUUUGUCAUCUGCAACAUUUUUGAUUGUGUUUGUCAAAAUGUCACCUGAGUCACUACCAACCAACAGCUCAAGUGCGACGGUUGGGGCUACGGCAGCAAAGCCCCCGUGAUGUGAAGGCCAGGAGCUGGCUGCUUGCUCAUCCCCUCUUGGUCACCCCAUGGAUUACCACAGCCUAACACCAGAUCAUCUCUGUUAGAGGGAGACAUAGAGGACAGCCCUCCUCUGAGAGCAGGGCUCUGACUCCAGCUUCCCCCUCCCCACCAGCCGCCCCUCCGACACCACACCUCCCCAGGGAGCAGCAGGGGCUGCAUUGUUUCCAUCCAAGCAGCCACCACAGCCAGCUCUGUCCAGCACUGUGCUGUCCCCCAGGCCUGCUUUUACAGGAAUUAAAAUUAAAAAAGGUGAUGCCCUGCAACAGCCUGGAGAGAAAAAUGUUAAGAAGUGCCCGUGCACAGCUCCGAGCAAGGCCCAGGCUGCAGGAGCCCCAGCACUGCCUGGCUUUACCUUCACCUCACCCCAGACUCACUGCAGGAACUGCCGCGGGGCCGCCCUGCUCCACAAGAACAAAAUCUUCCCAGAGACAGAGGCAGAAAUAGCCACAUAGCGGCUUCAUGCCUAAAACACCAGCAAAGCAGCUCAGCCUCUCAUGACAGCUGCCCUGCACAGUGAAGAGACACUGAUUUGUUCCUUCCUUCCAUCCCAGAACCUGCCCCUUUGACUCCAGACAGAGAUGAGCAAAUAUUUAAUUAACACGUUUGACCUUUUAUCAGCGCUCCAUGCUGAUGGCUUCCUGCACACCAGCUAGGUGUGCUUUCCUGCAGCCUGCUGCAAACCUGGAAACAGAACAGCGUUACAAGGUUUCUUCACAUAUCUUUGAACAUUUUCCGAAACUCUGGAUUUGAAAACUGAGAACAUGAAAGAGUCACCUUCCAUUAUUAUUUUAAUAGCAUUAAGUUUGUAUCUCUUAUUCCUGUUGAGUUGUAUAGAAGCAGAAAACAAGUGUUACCUAGAAAAUCAAAAGUCAAAGGAUUCAGAUCAAAACAUUUUAAUUCUUUUUCCUGUGUAUGUUUAAAAUUUUCCAGAUUUCUUGUGGUAAGAGAGGGUUAGAGUUGACUGAACAUAAAUGAUGCCUCAAAAUAGCUGAGAACAGAGAGCAGAGAGCAUCCUGCUCCUUCUGGUUUAGCUGGCAUUACCAGAGACCUCACAAUGUCAUUCUACCAGCCCUUAUUUUCCUGAUCAUUGUAAAAUGCCAAAAAUUCUCAUGUCAGUGAGUUAUUUUCAGUUUACAGGAUAUGCAGGUGUAUGGCCUGACCCCUUCCCUUCCCCUCACCUGGCCAGAGCAGGAUGGUUCAGCGAGGAUUCCUCAUUCAAUUAACACAUCCAUUAUUUCAGUCUGAAGCUCAGUGUGACUUGGAGGUAAUACAAAGCAGGAGAAACCUCACCUGCAUAAGGGAACACUUGGUUAUGUUCACAAGACAUGCACUGUAUGUCACUGAGACCUAUUUUUAAAGUACAGCAGCACCAGUUAUAUUUGAUAACUAUAAACAUUUUAUUCUUAUAUAAAAAUAUAGGAACAAAAUACUAUACAGAAAAAUAUAAAGUUAAGUCGAGAUCUUGUCAGUCCCUUUUAAGACAAACAGGCUCACACUGUGCAAGCCCCAGACUUUCAAAAAUAAAAUUAUCCUGGCAGUUGAAGUGGUGGCACGUCCAGAGGCAGAGCUGUGCUGAGGAAUAAGCUUCUAAUACAGGAAAUCUGUCUUGCAGCUUCCAACAUCCUUGCAAGUUUGCUUUUGUUACACAUAAAAUGGAACCCAAGUCCUCCUUCAUGGUCUGACCUGGAGAUAAACGUUCUCCCACCCCUCAGAGUAUUUACAGGAAGGUGCUAAGAGCCCACCUGGCCAGGACACAUCCCCCAGGCUGCGACCCCACCCCAUGGGCUCACAUUGACACAAACCAGUGGCUGCAGCACCCUCACACAAACACAACUGGAACCUCUCUGUCACCAGCUGCGAGCUGGAAACGAUGACUUAGGGAGGCAAAAGUCAGUGAAAGCAAGCUGAUGAAAUCCCUGAGCUUCUACCAGUUCCUCAAAACAGAAAAAAGCCAACUCCCCUCCCCCAGACAACAAAAGCAGCCAGCAUUCUUUUCCAAGGUACUGGCUGUUUCAGUACAUUCCUGUCUUUAAGGAAGGACACUGUGGACUGCAGCAGCCAACAGUGUAAGAAUCAUCUCCCUCCUCUUUACCUGUACUUCUCCAGUACUUUCAUUUUCCACAACCAAACUGUCCAAGUUUGCUUGCAGAUGAAGCAGGAACAAGAGGAGGGAAUGGAGAAGGCAGAGAAUUAAGGAAUUACAGUGCAAAUUAUAUGCUUGUGGGAAAAAAAAAACAAACACAAAAGAAAAAGGUUCUCUGUAGAUUUUCCAAGCCUGUUCUCUCCAUUGCCUCAAAAUAGGGUUGGUCUUUGUCAGGGAAUAAGUUCCAACUGACCCUAGACCUUCAACAGAAGGCAGGAGCGUGUUCCCCAAAGCAGUGAACUUGCUGUCACACUGUGUAUCAGCAAUGCCCGAGAGAUGCAACAUCACCACCUUUUCAUCACCCACUAAUCACGGCAGGACUCCACCAGAAAGUGCAGUGGGAGUCUCAGGUCUUCACGUUCCUCUUAUAUUAUUCAUUUGUAGCAGAGAUUUGCAAGUCCCUGUGCUGUAUUCACAGUGGAAAAAAAGUGCAGCAACACAUGUUGGAGACACUCCAGGAAUUAUUGCUCUGCUGAGGCAGCUUGUGGAGCCUGACUAAAGAAAAUUGGCCAAAGAAGAAAUAAGGGCAGGCCUAAAGAGGAAGACAGAGAAAGAAAGGAAUUGCUCCAGGCACCAACACAUCCUAGUUCCUGCCUACUGCCAGAAAGGUGCUGUAAUGGAUCCUGUCUCCUGUAAGCAGCACAAGCAGUUGUGUAGGGUUGAUCAGCAGCAUAUUUGGACAGUCUGUGGCAGGUGUUGGGACAGUUCACUGCCACCUGUAGAUAUUCACCGCCUUCUCUGUCAGAGUAGCCAGGAGGUGGGUUUGGUUCACUUCCAAGGGGCAGAUAUCCAGCACAGGCAGGUCAGCUGGCAGCUUCUGCAGCAAGGAACCACUUCCAGCAUCCCAGAGCUGUGGGAGGGACAGACAAGGUCAAGGACUGAAGGAUUCUCCCCUCCCAUCCAGAAGAGACCUUCCUCUCUCCAGAAAAGACUUUCCUCAAAUUACUUACAGGACCCUUUCUCUACUUCCACACCUUGCUUGGAUGGUUUUUAACAGAAUCACAGCAUGAUGCCACCACAGCCACUCUGACCCCACUCAUGAGCUCUCCUCCUCUUCCCUGUCAUUCCUAAAGAGCCUGCAUCCUUCCCUCACAGCACUUACCUCAUUAGCUACCCCACCAAGUCUGUUACACCACUUAGAGUGCCCAGUUGUGCCAGUGUGCCCAACCCCAUUCCUCUGGGGGACAAGAGGGGCUCACUGCCUACGCACUUUUCAAUGGAUGGGGACCACAGGCCUUGGCUAAGAUCGAGUCCCAUGUUAUCAGGAAGUUACACCUGCUACAGAAGUACAACACACCAACCAGCACAGGGUAAUGUCCAUGGCAAGACAAUUCCCACCAAAUCACACUGAUGCUGUGACUGAUGAGGCUUCUCUCCUAUGAAUUGCAAUAAACCCCUCCAGCACACUGAAAGGAGCAAGAGAUACCAGGGCAGAAUUGGACGCCUCAUCACCAGCACACACAAAGACGCUCCCGUCAUCCUCCGGGCUCUGGAAAAUGGCAUUUUUGGUCAGCAACUUGCAGGUGGGCCCAGCACUGAAAGUCUGAACCGGGUUAGAAGAACACACCACAUCUUCAGAGGCCUCUGUCAGUGGGCUGCAAGUCAGUUCCAUCAUCACACAACGCACACAUGGGUUAUUUUUACCUGUGUGGUAGAAAUACAAAGGUAACCUUUGGAAAAUGUACUCACAGAUAGGCUUCAGCUGUAGGAAUACAAGCAGCACCACCCUGCAGCUGCCUCCUUUCGCCCUCCCCCAGUUCUUAUGUAUGUGCAAAUGCUCAUUGCUGUGCUGGGGGCACAUGCUGCAUUUCUGCUGUGCCCCCAAGCUGGUGCUGAGCUGAGCCCCAGCAGUGAGUGGCACUGAGAGCCCUGCAGAGCCCCCCGUCCGUACCAGGCCUGUACGUGGCCAGGCAGUGCCGUGUGUUGAUCUCAGUUUGGAUAUCGAUGCAGCCCCCGGGCUCCAGGGGCAGGUGAUGGGGCCGGUAGGAGUUGCCAGCUCUCUGUUCCCAAAAGCAGGCUCCUUCCAAGGUCCCAGCCAAUAUCCCGCCGUAGGGCAGCGACGCCGAGGCCAUGCGGGGCAGGUAGGACAGUGACACCAUGGGGCACCUGCAAGGGGGACAGGCAAGAGUCAGUGCUGCCAGCUGCAGCUCUGCUGGCAUCCUGCUCGCUGCUGCAGAGCUCCAGCCUCUCCAACUGCACAGCAAAGAAAGGGCCUAAGCAGGCUCUGAGAUGGUCCUUCAAGCAAGGAACCCCAGUGGCAUGUCAAGUAUAAAUGGAAUUCAACUUAACUACCGAGCCUUAGGUUUUACAGAGCAUUAGACAGCACACAUCAGAUGAGUGCAAAUCAGUGUUUGAUUCCUGGAGUACAAGAGACAGAAGUAGCAGAAUCUCACACCUUUGUGUGAUUUGUCCUUCCAAUUAAAUACUAAACCCAGCUCCAAAACAAAUUCAAUUCUCCUGCUUACGCUGCACCAGUGGGUCCAUUUCUGACCUAUGUGUGCCUUAAAAAGAGCACAAGUGCUUGGCACCUGUGAAAGUUACACAUGAUACAUGUGCUAAAUGUGAAUUUUUGAACAAGAGUUUCACAUAAACCAACUAAACCCACUGCAAUUGCUGUGUGAAGCUGUGUUUAAGUUAAUGCAUAUAAGUUGAGAGGAAUGACAAAUCCUUAUGCCACACCUGGACUUCUGAGGGACCAGUUCUUGGACGUGAGAGUUGGUGUCCCUCAGAUCAUAUAUCAUGAUAGAGCCAUUGACCAAUCCAGCGUAGACAUAGUUUGUAUCAUCGAGACACCAGCAGCAGCUCCAGACAGGACGGCCAGCAUUGUAUGUCUGCACCACAGUGUUGGUUGCCAAGCUGCAGAAGAAAAGCAAAGUGUUGGCUGGUUGCACAGGCAUCUACUGAUGAGAAAAAAGCAUAAUUAAGAUUGAUCUUUGGAGACUGGGAGAGGAAAUCUCACAGCAGGGUCUCAGCUGCCUUACUGGCAAGAGAAAGCUAAGUUACUUUUCUGGAAACAAUUAGGAGAAGCGACUCUGGUGUGAUCCCGUAACACCGUGUAUUCCUGAGAUCACAGGGCUCAUCUCUUCAGAUUACAUCUCUCAUUAAUUACUUCCCCUUUUUUUACACAAGAGGAACAGUGCUUAUGCCUCAAAAGAACCAAUUUAAGCAAGAGUGAGACAGGGAGUGGGUAAAGGACAGUUGAGAGCACAUUUAUUCUGUUAAUUCUUCCUUCCACAAGUCGAGUUUCUAAAAAAGAGAGGAGUACAUAGAGGGGCAUAACCCAGAACAGCAGAUGAAGCUGGUAUCAGAUCAGGGAUUUGCAAAGGGCAGCAUUGUCAACAUGGGUUUUGCACACUGAGAACAGCAUGAGACAGAAGACAGCACAUAUCAAAGUAACUCUGGAUAUCCUUUACAACACAGGGGCUUCUCCCUGGGGAAGGUGAUUACACUCAGGACUCCAGAGAAACAAGUAAUUGCUCUCAGGUGAGUAUAAGGGGAAAAACUACAAGGACAAAACUGAGCUGGGGAAAGAGAGAGUUGAUAUCAGAGAAGUGACUGGGUCAAAACAACAAGACCAAAAAAAACCCAAACAAACUCACAGUGCUAUUUUAAACAAUUGCAAGCCAGAGCAGGAGACAUAAAGACAUCUUGGAUAAUUCUUUUUCAUAGGAUGACUAUGAAAUGAGUAACUAGAGAAGAAAGAUAACCAAAGGAAGAAUAUUCUUUCAGAGACUGAAAAAAGUAUGAAGAUGCUGCUGAAGCAAGCACCUAACUCCAAGACAUCCUGGGAUCAAGCACAAAAGCAAGAGGAUCACAAGCUCAGAUGCAGCCAACCAGGCAGUGAGAGGCAGAUAUGGGAGUCAAGUGUCUGAGCAGACACUGCAAUGAGGAACCACUCUCCAGAUUAAAUCAUGAAAAGAAUAUCAUCGUAAUCAGUUGGAAAUGUGACACAUUGACUUCAGCAUCAGAGGCAGCUUUGUUUACUUUUAACUAGUCUAGCAAACAUUUCAACAUGGUCACAGGAAAGCAACAUUCUGUACAUUUUUGCUGUGGGAUUAAGUUCUCUUCAUUGCUUCACUAGUGAGAAAGAAUUGGGACUAAUCAGUCAAACAACAGACACCUAUCCUGCCCAACCUGACACGGACAGACAGAUUGCAAAGAUGUUAAUUUAACUCAAUAAGAAUCAAUCAGCCAAUGAAGCUUUGAAGCAGUGUAAGAUUAAGAUUGAAGAGCAGCAGAGUAGCAAGAAAACACACUCAUAGGCUGUAAAUUCUAUCAGGACCGGACACAUUUUUGUCUCACUCUCUGCAUAAUUAGUCUCCAACCUGCUGGUUUAAGUCUCUGCUAGCUCUAGAGAGCCUCUAGCACAUGCUGUUUAUGAGUUUCAUAUCCCAGAUGAAUUCCAUGCUCUGCAAGAAGUUUAAAAUCUGAGAAGCCAACAUCAGGCUGUGCAAAGAAGAACAGAGCACAGGCUAAACACCUCUUGUUUCUGUACAAACACCUCUCUUUAUGCCGUACAAGUUCCUACACUUCACAUUUCCCUGCAGUAACAGAAAGCCAUGUGGACAGUAAAUUUCAUGUCUAUACAUUAUGCUACAUUUAUUCUCUCCACAGCUUGGCCAAUCCAUGCUAAAUUCCUUGUUCUCCACCGAGUUCUCCACAGGAAAACUACUACAGAGGGGCAGCUCCAUAACACCUCCACCUAAAAGAUGCAAAACCGUCAAUAAGUCCUUCCCUCUGUUAGCUCCCACAUGCAGGAAGAAUACCCAGACCUGCUCUCAUCUUUGCAGCAUCUUUCAGAAAGCAGACUAGCAAGUGCUGCAAGACAUUUCUAGCAAGACAGAACAAAAUCCAGUGCAGCCAAAGCCCGUGGGGACAGGGCUCACCUGGUGAGUUUGAGAGUUCCAUCCAGAGCAGCCGAGAGCAGCAAACCAUCCGCUCGAGUGCCGAAAGCCAGGCCCCGGAUCUGCUUGCUGUGGAUGGGGACGUACUGACUGCUCUUCAGGUUGGCCAAGCUCAUCAUCUUAACACCACAACCUGCCACAGAAGAAGGACAAAGCAGGUCAUGGUGAAGCAGCACACACAGGACUGGCUGUUCUGUGCCAGAACUGCAGCGUCUGUCCUGUCUGAAGCCUGUGGUGGGAUGAACACAUAAAAGUUAUUUGCUGUUCUGGAAAAGAACAAAAUCAUUCUUUAAUUCAAAUGGUAACAAGGCUAAAUCCUUAAGGACCCCAGCCACCAAGAGCAAAUUCAGUAUCAGUGUUACAAUUCCUGUUACAAGGCCUGCUGCUCUUUAGGCAGCUUCUUCAAAGACACUCUUGCCCAGAUAAAACCACACAGAGCAGGAUUACAUGGCUAUUAAAGAGAACAAGUGUCACAGCGAAGAAUGGUUACAGGUGAACUUAACCUGCAUGCUACAAGAGUCACCACAAAGCCUCCAUUCAUUCAUUCCUUGGCCUCGAAUGCCAGAAAAAUAAGACCAGUUGAAUGCAGAAAACCACUUUGUUCUGCCUGGAUAAGGCACGUUAACCUCAAACCCAUUAACCAAAUAAAGUAAGUUUCAUCAUUCAGAAAGCAUUUUGCAAAUAAACACUCUCAGACUCCUAAUGCCACAUCCAUUGCCCUGAAAAAGCAACUGGCGCUGGUCCAGAUGUCAGGUCACUGGCCCCUGGACAUAACAGUGAGACAAAACCAGGGCUGCCCAUGACUUCUUGGCUUCCUAUCUCCUCUUUAGAAAACAGUGCUCCUAGCAUUCAUAUUAAAAGGGUUUUGCUUUUGGGUUUUUGUGGAGGUUUUUUUGUUGUUGUUGUUUUUUGGGGGUUUUUUAUGAGUAUUGAGAAAUUAGCUGCAUGUGGAUCAAUCCACCUACAGUUAGGGGAGCAGUGUUUCUCAUUUAACCACUGGAAGCUUCUCUGCUUCUUUCAGAAGACUCACCUUUGCACAGAGUACCAGAUACAUGUUUUGCCUUCUUGUGGAUAUGGCACUCCAGCAGGAGAGCCAGAGACCCUCUGCUAGGAUUCUGCCAUAGAACUGCCAGGGGAAAGGAGCUUCUUUGCUAGGCAGAAGCUACUAAUGCAGGGGCAGAUGAAUUAGGGGGAGUGUUAUGAGUGUACUCAUAAGUUUACAAGGCACGUGCAAAGGUCAAGCAGAGAAGUAGGGAGCAACAAAAAAAGACAUUUAACUUUCACUUAUGAACCUCCAAAUCUUAACUUGCUUAAUUACCAGGAAUGAAAGUAGACUGUGGAGAAGGCUGUGACACCACAAGGCAGCUCAUGGAGUCACAGUAUGCCAUCACUCGGCAGUUCCCAGCCUGAGACACCAAGAGAACCUUUUCCAGGUGGUACUUGCGCUGGCUCUGGCUGGAGGGGAGGCUCCCUGGGAGGCAGGGCCGGGAGCUGCCGGGUUGCUGCGAAGUGCUCACGUUGUGCUGGGCCACCAGAGCCUUCAGCUCCUGCAAAGACAAAACCCCGAGAGCUUGAAUGCGUCACCAGCGACGUAACCUGCCGUGCUACCUGCUCCAGAGGCUCCAAGUGUACUUGUUCUCAGACAAAGGGGGGGAAAUAUGGUCCCAUUUCCAUGCUGUUCCUGAAGGGCUGCAUUUCUAAGCCUGUGGCCUGUGACAGUGAGCAACAGAAGCACUCAAAUGCUACGCAAGUCCUGGCAGAAUGUACUCAAAGUCUGUUGUUGUGUGUAUUACACCCUGUGAAAGAGAGGACUCUUGGGCAACACAUAAAAGCCGGUACCAAUUACCAGAUCAAUGCUGUCUAGAAGAGAAUGAACUGCCAAGUAUUACGUGCUGCUAAACCACAAGAGAAAGUCAAUUAAAACCAUUUUCCAGAAUUUCCAGAAUACCCCAUAAAAAAAUAAAAGCCCGAGUUUCAACAUAAAGGGCAUUGCAGGAAACAAGUCAGUCUAUUUAAUGACGAUGAUCCUGUUCUUGUAAACCCUGGGCAGCAAAUUCCAGGAAUGACACAACUCUCAAGAGCUCCAGUCCUGUUUUCCACCACCUCCUCCCCCCUUCUUCCUCCACCUCAACUGAUGAAUGCUCAAGGAUGCUCAGCAAAGGCAUGGCCAAGAACAGCUUCCACGAGCAGCAAGGUAUUCCUUGAAUUCCCUUUUCCACAGAGAUCAUCAGGGGGGAGGUGGGAAUUCAGGUAGUGGCACUGACAUAUUGUGAGUCACCUAAAAGUGCACCCUCCCCAAAAGCAUUUUGACCAUCUUUUAUCCAAGGUCAAAACAAGAUGGUACAGAACCCCAGGGACAUUUAGGACAGAGGGUAUAUAUAAAGAGAAUUGCUACUUGCUUUCUGUUGUCUGAGCAAUGCAGAUUAGGCUUCAAACACUAUGUAAUCUUUAAACAAUUAAGGGCCACAAGAGUGAUAUUAUGAAUAUAUCAGUAAUUGCAAGUCAGCCUCAAUACUGAACCAGCCACCACUGCUUAACUCACAUCGAAGCAGAGGCAGCAGUUUUCAAAGAGGCAAGAUCAAAGAUCAAGCUCUACAUUAAUAGUUAUCAAGACCUAUAACUUUUGGAAACUGCUCAAGAGGAGAGCAAUUCUGACACCUUACAGACGUCUGAUCUGCUUUGCAUCAAGCACAUUGCAAAUUCCUCAAGGGAACAUAAAAAUUAAAAACAAAAUAAAAAUUGAAGCUGAAGUCUUGAGAUGAUCCCAUUGGAGUGAGCAAGACAAAACAACCUGGGCAAGGAAGAAGGGCUGUGGGGGUUGCCAGGAUGCUUAAGAUGGGAGCUACAGCUUCAGGCUUAGAGUAAGCACUCAGUGAAAACACAGGUAACUUAGAAGAAAGUUACUUUUAAUCAAAAAUUUAAUAAACUCAUUAUUUCUAAAAGGGGGAUGGAGGCAAUCACCACUGAGGAUCAGAAGAGAUUAAAAUUAUUUGUUCCUCUGGGGACCUUAUGAAACUCUCCUUGUCACCUGCACUCAACAUUCAACUUUUACACAAGUUAUUAAAAAGGAAACCAGGCAAUUAAAAUCACAAAGACUAUUAGUACAAUGUUUACAUUUAAACACAAUGGACAAACCCAGCAGAAUCAGGAAGUCUGACUGGAAGCGCAUUACCAAGGUGAUUAAAAAUGCUGCACUCCAGACGAAUUCCACUAAUUGUGCUCAAAAGAACGUUCUGUUGGUAACAUAAAGCUACACCUUCCUUCAGAUGCUUUGCAGAGUUUUCCUGAUGCCCGGUGUUAACUAAGGACCUUGAGGGCAGACUCCACUCUCUGCACAUGCUAUGACUGUCUCUAAAUUUCAGCUUGCCCUUGCAGUGAUGAAUGAACACAGUCACACAGGUGGGGAAACAAAAGGCUGUACAGCAGAAGUCUUCCUGAGGAGCGUGCAUGAGAAGUAGAAGCAGGAGAGCACAACGAAUAGGAAAGGAAACCCACCAGCUGCAAUAAAUUCAGAACAGUUUUGAGUGUUAGGUUACAGCCUUAAUAGCUGAUAUGAAGCUUUAAAGACUAAGGCAGGUAUCAGAUGUCACUCUGGCUGUCUCCCACAGACCUCUUAGAGAGGCCACACCUGCCACCUCGGCUGCACAGCCCCAGUCCUGCACCAAAGAGAGAGAAACACAGGGCAGGACAACCUCCAGCUGUGGUGCAGCACUGCAGCCAUCCCACCUUCCACCUUCCUUUGGGGCUCAGGUUCAGAUUCAGGCUAAGGGACGUGGAGCAUUUUUACCUGGCUUAACUACAAGCAACAGCAAUGAAAUAUCAGCUUUUACUACCCCAGACAUCAACUGGAGGUGAACACAAAGAUCAUAGAGAUGAACAAAACCAUUAGCCUAAUUUCUUUUCUAGAGGUAUUAGAUACACAAGUUUUUAUUGAUAUUUUGCCAUCCAAUUUUUUUGGAUGCUCUGAAAAUCCUAUUUUAAAAAUGCUUUUCCAUUACAUUGAGCAAUAUAAACUAAUCUCUGCAAGGCUCACAAUUACAUUUGCUUUCUUCUCCACAGCAGCCUGCAGUCUCCUGUUGUUUCCCUGCUAGUCAUCCCUUUCCUGCUCCAUAUCCAAACAGAGCUACUGUUUCCCACUUGCAAAAAUGAAUCUCCUAUCCCAGUUGAUCAGUGGUAUUAAUGCCAGAAGCCAGAGAUGGUUUGCUGAUCAUUAGCUAACUUUUACUGGAAAUGUUGGCAUAUUCAGGAGUCCUGCAGUAGCUCACAUCCGGUUCCCAAGUUCUUUCUGCUGCCAAAGGAAAAACUUUAGGUAAAAGUAAGGUGUCAGUAGCACUGUUUCCAAAAGGCAAGCCUGAACCUGCCACACAGGAUGCAGAACACAGCUCAGCACAGCCCACACUCCAGGUUUACAUAUGGAAACACUGCUGAGGGCUUUCUUCCAGAGCUUUAGUUAGCUACCUCCCCUCAACUUCCUUUCCUCAUAUAUUUUCAUAUAGCUAAAGACUUAAAAACCACCCAUGUCCUAGUGUCAAUCAUGUUAAAUACCUCAAUAACAAAGCACAGUGGACAAGAUGGUUAAUGGACAAGAGCAGUGAAAAACACACACAAAUCUAGGAAAAGGUCACAACUAGAGCCAUGACUGCUGCUGGGGCACAGCUCAAGAGCACUGGCAAGAAAAAAGGGUUCAUGAUGGCUUUUGAGGGGAGUCCACACCCUGAGCAACCCAACCCUACACUGGAAUCACCCCACUAGAGUUGGGACAGAAACCUCCAGGAGUCCCUCCUAACCUAAAUGCUUCUGUGCAAGUAGUUUCUUUACUACAUGACUUCUCAUAAAACAAGGAAUUCAUUAGGCACAUGCUUAAAAUAUCAUUGAACAACUUAGACUUAUUCCAGACUUCCUGCUGAUUUUUCUUUUUGCUCCCCAGCAAAUUGUUUUACUUUCAGUUUACUCAUAGUAUAAAUAAGCACCUUAAAAACUGCUUCCAGCAUUGGCAUUAACCACUACAGGACAGUGAUGAAUGCAGUAUAAAUACUGAAACAGAGCUUACAGAACACAGGGUACUUAAUCUUUAUAACAUGCGACUUCAACUCAGUUAGACUGGAUACUCUAUCAUUUAACACCAAAUGAAUUGCAGGAGAACAUUAUGGACCUGCACUUCUAUCUUAUUCGCAUUUUUCUUAAGCCAAAGCUUGAAGUGGACCAAUUUUCUUAUUAGUGCUGAUGAGCAUACAGCUCCAUGCAGGAAUUUAGGUGAUUUAUAAAGCCUUAUCUUACAUCAGGCAGGAAAACAUCAGCAAAGAGGAUGGUGUUUAAUGUACAGAUAUGAAUAGCCAAGGCUACAAAGAAAUCCAUGAGUAAAGAAAAGCAUAAUAUUAAGUGGGUCACUAGACAGUGAGAGAAUAGGUAUCAUCUACUCAUAUAACUAAAGGUAGCAAACUGGCAAUGAAACAGGCUCAUGGAAAACUCAGCACUGGAGGAACACGCCAGCUAAUGCCCACUUGGCAGCACCAGCAUAGUCCACAACUUAUAGGAAUCCUGCAAAAGCAGCUGGGAUGGGUUACAAAGUACCUCAGUAUUGCACAAGCCAGAAAGGAAGCAGUUUAGCAACUGGUCAUUUAUUGUUAGUAAUUUGCAUUCUAAGAGGGCAGAGGUGCCUUUCAGCAGCUGCUCAGUCCGUGCAUACAGCCUCCCCUACUGACAGGCCAGCUCCCAGGGGACCAGAAGGUGCUGAACUAGAAUGUUGACUGACUCUCAAAAAAAAAAAAAAAAAAAAAAAUUAGGUGUUUUUUUGUUUUGUUUUCUCUUGAUUUUGCAAAUGCACACCUCUUGACAAAUUGCUUCUCAAAAAAUUAUUCUUGAGAAUAAUUACUGAUAAUAGGUCCUAUUACAGGUUUACUGUAGAGAUUUUUCAAAGCUUCUUUUGAUGCAACUACAAGAAAGAUGAGGAGAAUAAGUCUGGUUCUCCAUUACCAGGCCUUUCCAGGCACCACAAAACCUGAAGAGGAUCCUGCAACAUCAGCAGCCAAACAACUCUACUGCUAGGCUGCAGCUUCAAUUAAGUCUUAAAAUGCACAAAAAAUAAGUCACUGUUAUGUAGCACAUACCUCAAUAUGCCAACCUGAGAUAUUCACCAGCCCGGGAUGAUUCACCAGCUGAGUUUACUAAAUCUUUCUGCUCAUUAAAACUGGAAGCCUGUGUUUUCUCCUCCAAGGGAACGUGCAAAACCAGGCUGAAGCAAAAGGGAAUCCUUUGUGUAUAAAUAUCCUGAGACUCACCUGAACUUGCCUGCGGAGUUUGCUGCAUUCAUCCGUCAGAACCUGGAGCUGGAGACGGCUCUGCGCAGAUUCCAGCUCCGCCUGUCUCCGCAACAUCUUCUCCUUUUCUAAAGAGCUGGAGGAAGAAGAGAAAAGCAACCCUUAGGACUAGGUAUUAUCCAGGAUGCUCCUUUGGGCUGUCAACACCUGUCCUCUGACUUCAUCCCAGCUGAAGUCCUGUUCAGGCAAAUCCACAAGUGACAGAAAACCUGGUACCACACUCAUCCAGCACCCUCACCUCGAGAUGUGCAGUUAUGCAAUUGUUCUGAAUGACUCACUCAAGUAUUGUUCCAUAGGAACAACAGGCUUUCUUCUCACCAUCUUCAAAAGUACUAAUUUAGUAGAGGAGAGUGAAAGAGAAAUCAGGUUUUCUUUCCCCUAAGAAACACUUCAGCAAAUCCUAUGUCAUCAGUGUCCACAUAAUACACUGUGUCAGUAAUAACAGAAGUCAAAACACAGCAAGAUUUUCAAGCUUGUCUCUACUAUCAGUAACUAAUCUUGUACUUCAAGAAAAUAUAACUGUAACAGAAACAGAAUGAUACAGAGAAAUUCUCUGUGAAUACCCAUUUAUAAAUAAGCCACACCUACCACCUCACCUUGAGCCUAAAAGUGCAUACACACCAUUUAGCAGCAGCAGUUUUGCUAACUUACUUGAACUCCUUUUUCAUACAGGCUUAUAUGAAGGGAUAGUUAAAGAAGAGGAAGAAACACCAGUACUCCUUAAAAAUAGCUGUACAUUUAGACUAUAAUGUUGACCACUGCAUUCUGCACUUUAAAAGCUGCAAUAUUCCAGUUAUUUCAGUAGUUCAUGUGCAGGGAGCUGUUGCUUGCCUAAGUAUUUUCCAAAUGCACAGACCUAGCCUUGCAUGUUCACAAAGCACAGAAUUCUGUCAUUUCCAUAUGGCUUUUUCAUGUGAUAUUUUUCCUGCAGAAGAAACAACUGAAAUGCUGUAUUUAAGCAUCACAAACACAUUCUUUACACAAGUACCCAGGGCCUGAAGGCUGGUGGUUUUUACUGAAUGUGAAGAACAAACCCCACGAUCUUGUACCUAAUUCAAGGCUACAUGCAAACAAUACUGAUGCAUGCACACACACAUCCCUGCUCCAGUCAUGGCUGGGUGCCACCAAGCAGCCACUGCCAGCAGCUCCAUGACCCACAGGCAGUCACUGCUGUCUGCCUCACAACAAAAACAGGAGGCAGAGGAGGGGCAGGGCAAGGGGGAAGGGCUGCAGCGAGAUUGAGACACAAGCAGCAGUCAGACGACUGGCUCUCCAGGAGAGAGAAAAUGUAAACACCCAAAUGCCUUCUGUGCUUUUGAAAAAAAUCUUAUAUGUUGUUUAUUUUCCAGUGUCAAUCCAGUAAAAGCAGCGUGACCCUUCUAAAGGUACAGUUGAAACACCAUCGGGCAGUGUCAAUCUGGACAGAAGAGAGAUUUUUGCCUUCAUGACCCUUACUCCUCAAUCACUUCUGCUCAGUAAUUACCAGGAUACUGAGGUUUCCAUUGAAAGACUGCCUUGAAAUAACAGUGGUAUAGUUACAGACACGUGAAGAAACCCCAAUUAAAAUCUAUUCACCACAAGAUUCAGAAGAACUCUGAUAUCUGCAGCCUUUAAUUUCAGAACAGUAUCUGUGACAACAUCUUACUGAAAAAAAUUCAUCCCCUGCUUUUUCUUUUUUCAAUGCAAAGUCUACAUUUAAGUUGGAAGGGGAAGUAGAGUCAUAGUUAUGCUUGCUGACCUUUUGUAAGUAAAGCUACAUGAAGAAUUUGACAAAGCAAGAUGGGAAGUGAUUCAUAUGAGUGACUACUCUGUUUAAUGUGUGCAGAAAAGAUGGCAGAAAAGGUCAGCUAUUCACCCCUUGCAUUCCCAACUAUGCCUCGCUCUUCCCACCUAAUGAUGAAUUAGCAAUAUACAGCUUUUUGGCAUCAACUCUGCAUGUCCUCCCAUGAUAACAUUUCAGGAUACAGCCCAAGAUAGCUUUUGCUGUUUCAGGGCCACAAAAUGCAAACUUGAGAAUUCUGUUCCAAAAGAAAAUUAAGACAGGUGCAACACAGCAAGGCCUUGGGUUUUUUUUUUAAGCCAGCCAUACUCCUGCUAAACCUCGAGGGAAUGCACAAAUUGCUUUAGAAGACAACAGAGGAAAUUAAAGCAUGAAGCAGAAGCCAGAGUGCAGCUUCCAGUACCUUCUCAUGCGCUCCUGCUCACUGGUGUCCAGCGCCUUCAGAGUGCGGGCGUACAGGACCACGAUGUCCGAGCGCUUGGCUUUCUUGUUGCACUGAAAUAAAAGACAAGCUCAGGUCACCUACAAGAACUUAA